rnacentral:lncRNA from 1 species
GACUUUUCUAAAGAAAACAAAUCUAAUAUAAAUAUUUUCUGUCUUAUUGCGUUUCCAGUGUUAUGUGAACCUUCUUUCACAGACUGGCACAUCAGGCAGCCAUGCUACUGCGCUUCUCAUGCUUCAACUGUCUCUCAGGGUUUUUAUUCAUUUAUUGAUCCACGUGCAAUUUCCACCUGAAAGCAUCAUUCCAGUGUUUCUAGAAUUCUGGGAGAAUGGCACACAAAAACACCUGAUAAAAGAAGCUCGCCAUUCAGCAGUUUGUAGGUCAUUUUGACAAAAUAGAUUUCCUGUUGCAUGCCAACUCCAGAUGAUGGACCGUUAUUGUCUGGAGCUGUGUUGAGGAGAAUCCUGAAGCUGCAACUGGCCUCAGCCGGAAAGAGUACUACAAUCAAUUUGAGGUUAGAAUUUUAAUUAUUCUAAAACAUAAAAACUUGAGA